AACGCUAGCUACAGGCUUAACACAUGCAAGUCGAGGGGAAACGACAUCGAAAGCUUGCUUUUGAUGGGCGUCGACCGGCGCACGGGUGAGUAACGCGUAUCCAACCUGCCCAUCACUUGGGGAUAACCUUGCGAAAGUAAGACUAAUACCCAAUGAUAUCUCUAGAAGACAUCUGAAGGAGAUUAAAGAUUUAUCGGUGAUGGAUGGGGAUGCGUCUGAUUAGCUUGUUGGCGGGGUAACGGCCCACCAAGGCGACGAUCAGUAGGGGUUCUGAGAGGAAGGUCCCCCACAUUGGAACUGAGACACGGUCCAAACUCCUACGGGAGGCAGCAGUGAGGAAUAUUGGUCAAUGGGCGAGAGCCUGAACCAGCCAAGUAGCGUGCAGGAUGACGGCCCUAUGGGUUGUAAACUGCUUUUAUAAGGGAAUAAAGUGAGUCUCGUGAGGCUUUUUGCAUGUACCUUAUGAAUAAGGACCGGCUAAUUCCGUGCCAGCAGCCGCGGUAAUACGGAAGGUCCGGGCGUUAUCCGGAUUUAUUGGGUUUAAAGGGAGCGUAGGCCGGAGAUUAAGCGUGUCGUGAAAUGUAGAUGCUCAACAUCUGCACUGCAGCGCGAACUGGUUUCCUUGAGUACGCACAAAGUGGGCGGAAUUCGUGGUGUAGCGGUGAAAUGCUUAGAUAUCACGAAGAACUCCGAUUG
rnacentral:rRNA from 1 species